ACCAUGUUUACCCAGGGUGGGCUGGAGGGACCUGAACGUGGAGCCUGAUUCUCAGGAAUUUGGACAGCUGUCCCUGGACAGCCACCAAGACUCUGUCUUCUACACUGAGAUGGAGUGCAGAGCGUGUGGCAGCAGUUACGAAUGCUACAGGUCAGUUGCUCAUCCAUUUUCCUUGAGGCCUCUGGCAGGAGGCUGGAGCGCCCGUCGCCCCCGGGGGGUGCUGCCAUCAACAUUAGUCCUGGUGACAGGAGGACAAAUCAAAGCGCUGCAGGCUACCAGGGAGAAGAUAAAUCUGGCAAAAGGCUAAUGAGUAAACUGUGGCUGCAGCAAGAGAUGGCCUCCAAGAGCUUCCGGCCUUCUCCUUGCGGGCAAUGGGCCACCUUUGGGGGACUGGAGUGAGGGCACAUGGCUGGCAUGUGUUGGGUUUCUCUAGACUGAGGCUGAUGGGCACCAAGUUUAAACUUCUGGGCAGUGGCAAGGAGCAGUGAGGAAGGAGUUCUCCACUCCUCAAAGUGCAUGGCUUUUAUCUCUCACGGUCACACUGCAGCAAAAGGAUUUGGGUGGACAAAGGAUUUGGUGGACUGAAAGAAUUUGACCAGAUAACCACAGAAAGUUAUGAAACUGUUUUCUUCUGAAAGUUCAGGGUAGCUUAGAAUAUACACUCAUGUCUAUAAAUAGUCAUGUAUUUCUUCUCCAAAAUAUGAAUCAAACAUUUAUUUUAUACUCUGUUCUGUACCAGGAUCUUAGAUUAUAAAGGUGUUUCCUGCUUUCAAUGAGAUUAUAGGGGGUGGGGGGACCAAAGAACCAAGAUGGCAAAUAGAUUUUUAUUUCCUAAUCAAUUCCUUUGAUUAGGAAAAGUCUCUUUGGAGCCCCAUUUUUUUUUUUAAAGAAAAAAAGAAAAGGGAAAACCGCAUCUAGGCUUAAGAAGAAAGUAUAGAAAUAACUUAGUGGUGUCUGCGUUGGUAUAACAUGGGUAGAGGCAUCUAGUGGCAUCCCUGCUGAGGCAAUGGAGCAUAUUCAGUUCAGGAAAGGUGUUUUGAACACCCAUGCCCAGUCCUGUGCUAGGAAUUUGGGGGUUAGAGCCUGUGGAAGUCUUUAAGCAGAAUCCAACGUAGUUGGGGAAAAUGUAGAAAACUGGAGAGAGACUAUUAUCAGUGCUGGUCUAAAAUCCUCAAACUGAGGGGAGCUGGAGGAGCUCAUGGGAAGGACCAGAAGGCUUCCUGGAGUGGAGAGGGAGGCGAGGAACCCCACAGGAACAGCUACUGUCUACCUGGAACGUGAGCAUCCCACCAUCAAAAGCUGUUCUUGAAGAGCAGGUGAGAAAGGAAACCAAGGAGGACAGCAAAGCCCAGGUGAGCUGGUUUGUUCUUCCUUCCUUUUAACUUCCUCUGCCCCUUCCCUCAGAAGCCUCUCACACUUGGGGGGGCGGGCACGGCGGUGCCCCAGCCUGCCUGAGCCAGUGCUUUUCAAAGCGCUGCCUGUUGGAGAAGCUGUUGCUGGGAAGCAGGGCUGACCCUGCUCUGGCAGGCAUGUGAUGAAUAUUUCAUGGCCCAGAUGUAAUCCUGCCACGCUUUCCUUGCCUUCCCCUGGCCCGCACCCCUCUCCUCCCGGUCCUCCACUUCCACCCCAGCCCCAGUCCCCAACUGCUCCCAAGUCAGGAAAAUCAGUCACAACAUUUAUCAGGAAUCGGUAUGAACCAGCCAAGCGCUGUGAAGAACUAAUCUGUGCAGAGCUAAUAAGAAUGAACAAAGUCGCCACAGACUUCGCCGCGGGCAUCGCUGAUAAGGAUUUGUCAGAAGAAUUGCAGGUGAGAUCUGAACAGCCCGGGGAAGUGGAAUGCAAAUGCCUGGCUCCCCGUCAGCCUGACUGGAGCCCACUCUGAGCACUGGAGGCUUCAGGACAGAGUGGGAAUCACUGGGGAGGGGGGCAGGUGAGAGGACGAUGAGAUGCAGAGUCCUGCAGAAAUGUGGAACAAAGCCAGGCGGAGCAGUGGGCAGCGAUGAGGGAAAGGGGCAGGUGGGGAGCAGUGAGUGGGAAAGGUAAGAAAGCAGCCGGGGAGGCAUUUCCCUUCUAGGUUCCUUCGCUGAGUGGACACGGGCCCCAGGAGGUGCUGAAAUUGGAGAUAAGAAAUAAUAUCCCAAAUGACUGCAAGCUGCUGAAGUCUGGAAAGGGUUUGGGAAUUCCCUAGCUGAAGUCACAAAGGAGUGAUGCUACAGAGUGGCAGAGCCAGGCUGUGCAGUCAGGCAGAGGUGGGCUGGCAUCCCAAUUCUAAUGGCGUUAAGUCACUGACGCCUUGACAGGGGCAUCUCCCUGGAGCCUCCGUUUCCUCAUCUGUGCUAAUUCAUAGGACAGUUGGUGAGGAGUAACUAAUGUCCAUAGAGGAGGCGUGGCACCGUACCUGGAGCACAGUAGGACUACAAAGUGUUAGUAACAAUCCUGUCCUUAGUUUUAUGGGCCAUUUUGUCUAAAGACAAUCUACAAUCUAAUCAUCUAAUCCUAGUAAUUGGUAAACUUUUCUGCAAAAGGUCACAUGGAAAAUAUUAUAGAUUCUGAAGGCCAAACACACUUGAGUUGCAACUACUGACCUCUCCUGUUGUAGCCCCAAGCAGCCAAGAUUGAAUGAGUGAAGACGUGUUCCAAUAAAACUUUAUUUGUAAGAAUA